rnacentral:lncRNA from 1 species
UUUAUCCAGAUUAGGGUUUUCGGUUACAUGGUCAAAUUCUGUAGGAUAAGAUAUCUUGUGAAGGCCCUUCAAUGCUUCAUUGAGAAACAUAUAUACAUCAGCUGUGAAGAGUCAUGUGCCACCUGAAUACACCAGUGGAUAUUGUAACAGGCCGCUGCUCUCUCACUCGCUGAAUCCUCCACUGCACCACACCACCACUCAAAUGGAAGUCUGCUACACUGCCGCCACUGCAGUUAUUAUUGGUCUUGUGUUGUUGUAAACUAGGGUGUCCACGGUCUGGAUUUGAGGGAUUUUAGGCCAAACCGUUGGUAACACUAACGGGUUUUAAUUAUUAGAAACCAAAACCGAACUGUUAAAAGAUAAAAACCAAACCGUGGCUAAGGGUUUGUCUCCGACUUGAACGGUUUCACGGUUUUAAACUGAACCAUGAACAUCCCUACUGUAAACAACUGUUAUGGUACUUAGGUGAAUGUUGUAUACUUGUAUAACUAUUUUC